rnacentral:rRNA from 1 species
UACAGAGGGUGCGAGCGUUAAUCGGAAUUACUGGGCGUAAAGCGCACGUAGGCGGGUUGUUAAGUCAGGAGUGAAAUCCUGGAGCUCAACUCCAGAACUGCCUUUGAUACUGGCAACCUAGAGACUGGAAGAGGUUAGUGGAAUUCCCAGUGUAGAGGUGAAAUUCGUAGAUAUUGGGAAGAACACCAGUGGCGAAGGCGGCUAACUGGUCCAGCACUGACGCUGAGGUGCGAAAGCGUGGGGAGCAAACAGG